AGCAGCAGGUGACAUGGAAGGAGCAGUACAAGCUUACGUCUCUGCUCUUCAGUACAAUCCUGAUUUGUACUGUGUUCGUAGUGACCUGGGGAACCUGCUCAAAGCCCUGGGUCGCUUGGAAGAAGCCAAGAAGGUUUCAGGUGGGUGAAACCUCCUAUUCCAUGCGUAAGGUGCCUCGCUGAAGGGAGCUCGAGGCCUGGAUCUAGGGCAGACACACAACCUCCUCCUCCUCCUCUUCCAGCAAGGAACGCACCGAAAAGUCACAUGAUGAGAAAUAUGGUAACGGGUUUGUAACUGCCACAGCAAAACAAUUUGCCUCCAUGCCUGAAUCUUCUGUCUUGUGGCUUCAGAAACAGCUUAAAAUAAUUUUAUUUACAAGUUAUGUAAAAGAAUGUUUUAUACUAUAGCCACAAUUCUGUCAAAAAUAAGUAAAACUUAAUUAAGAUAAUAAAAUUAUUAGAUAAUUUACUAGUAAAAGCUUCUAACUCUUCUUGUUGUUCAUUUUUUUUCCUUUUUCUUCUUUGUUUGGAUUGCAGCAUUCUGCUCUUCUGAUGAUGCGCUGUGACCCUGCAGUAGCGCAAAGGCUGCGCAGCGUUAAUGCGCAUUGCGUGCGAAUGAGCCCCUGUGAACGGUUGACUAGAUGAGUAAUCUGAUUGACUGGCUCUCUCAGUCCUAUUCUGUAGCCUUUUUGGAUAAAAUUGGGUUUUAACAUACCUCGAGUCCAACUAAUCUCAUUAAGCAAAUAUUCUCUACGGGCCUGUCUAGUAGAUUAAUGGAUCUGGUUGGCCGUUUGCUGCGUCUAGGGGUGUUCCAUGGAGCGCAGCAGUUCGCAGCGUUUGCGCAGUGCGAUGCUGUUAGGUGGCGCCAGCGAUGUUUGCGCUUGCAUUACAGGGACCUCAACCUAGGUGCAUUCCUGUCAUGUGAGGUUUUAUUUUCUUCCUCCUCAGAAGAGAGGCAUGUGCUGUGAGUCUGCAGAUUCUGAAACUUGAAGUCUGAAUGAUGACUGACUUGGCAGAAACAUUUUUGUAUG